rnacentral:misc_RNA from 1 species
GAUUAGUUCUAUUGGUGAUGGUUCAAUUCAAUUGGAGUUGGCUGUAUAAAUCCUGUUUAUUCAUUUCAUUCUGUUCAAAUCUUGUUGAUUAGAAAAUUUACAUUCUUUUAUGCGCUAAAUGAGUUUUGGAUACAGUUGAAAGUUAUUGUCCACAUUAGCACUUUGAUUUGGGAUUUCUUUGAUAAUUUUAAUGAUAAUGGCGUACAGUAUGAUGAAAAGUAAACAAUAUGAUAGCCCUUAACUGAUUCAUGAUUGAUUGACCAGAAGGUGACACCUACGAGAAAAGUUUUCCAUUAAUGCCCUUAUCUGAUUAACUCUCUUAGUUUUGUUUUUUGGUACCUCUGAUGAAUGUUUAGACAUUGUCUGUCAGAAUGCUACAUGAAGUGAGUUUUGUAUAUUUUAUUACUUAAUCAUGUAUAAACACAGUUGUUCUAUACAUAUAACUCAAGAAAUGUACUUAGAUUAAAUUUAUCAG